rnacentral:rRNA from 1 species
GCUACCAUGCAGUCGAGCGGUAAGGCCCUUCCGGGUACACGAGAGGGGAACGGGGGAGAAACACGGGGGACGAACCCCUGACUCUGUGAUAAAACCGGGAAAAAGGGGCUAAAACAAGAGAUGACUCCUGCUCGCAUGGGGGGGGGUGGAAAGGGGGGUUUUCCUUCCGGGCGGGGAUGGGCUCGCGGCCUAUCAGCUUGUUGGUGGGGUGACGGCCUACCAAGGCGAUGACGGGUAGCCGGCCUGAGAGGGCGACCGGCCACACUGGGACUGAGACACCGCCCAUACUCCUGCGGGAGGCAGCGGGGGGGAAUAUUGCGCAAUGGGCGGAAGGCUGACGCAGCGACGCCGCGGGGGGGAUGAAGGCCUUCGGGUUGUAAACCUCUUUUACCACUCACGCAGGCCUUGGGUUUUCCUGGGGUUGACGGUAGGUGGUGAAUAAGGACCGGCUAACUACGUGCCAGCAGC